rnacentral:rRNA from 1 species
UAAUACGGAGGGUGCAAGCGUUAUCCGGAUUUAUUGGGUUUAAAGGGUGCGCAGGCGGAAUGAUAAGUCAGUGGUGAAAUCCUACGGCUCAACCGUAGAACUGCCAUUGAUACUGUUGUUCUUGAGUACAGUUGUAGUGGGCGGAAUAUGUCAUGUAGCGGUGAAAUGCAUAGAUAUGACAUAGAACACCGAUCGCGAAGGCAGCUCACUAAGCUGAAACUGACGCUCAGGCACGAAAGCGUGGGGAGCAAACAGGAUUAGAUACCCUGGUAGUCCACGCUGUAAACGAUGAUUACUCGUUGUUGGCGAUACACAGUCAGCGACUGAACGAAAGUAUUAAGUAAUCCACCUGGGGAGUACGGUCGCAAGAUUG